CCUCGUGAAUUCAUCAUCUAGGGGAGGGGAGGCAUGCCUAAAGAAAUGCCAAAAACGGAGGGAAAAGAGAAAGAAAGUUAAGCUCUUCGGUUUUUGUUGCAUUCCCCCUGCUCUUUUCUUGGAGCAAGCUACCCAGGAUUUCAACACACACACGCACACGCACACACACACACACACGCUUGAGCUGGACUGUCCUUGUUUGCUUGCAAACAGUCCAGAGGCAAUGGCAAUGGAGCCCCAUUAAAUCAGACUCCAAGAGACUGGAAUCUGUGUCCCGCUGGCUCCUUCUCCGACUGCCCCCCCUACCCCAGAAGGGAACAGAUUUCUACAAUCCGGACCUGACAAACGCCAUUUCUUAGGCCAAAUAGUCCCACGUGGAUCUUAAGCCACAAAAAGGUAAAUCAGCUAGCCUUCCUACUUUAAAGACAAUUUUGGAAAGGAAGAUGAUUUCGGUUAUUAACUCACCCAAGCCGCAGACGCAGGGCAUGCGCUUUGCAGAAUGAUUAUUCAAAUACCAUCAAGCUGAAGUCAAGUUCUCCCGGAGCCCAUUGAAUCUUUGCCCCAACGGUCCACACAGGAGCCCUUCCCUGAAGAGCUCCCUUUGCUGUGCUGGAAUCUGUUUCUCAGUGAAUAUGUGAUGAUUGCAUGUUUUCGGCCUGAUUCUUUUCUCUUGCCUCACAUCCCCUGGAGAUCCCGCGGCCUCCUUAUAAAAGCCAUGUGUCUCUUAUCUUUUCCAGUGCAGUUGCUAAAACCAGAAAGCAGGCUGGAAAACAUUUCCCCAAACUGUACUGUUUUUCAUUAUUUCUUUCUGACACCUCCAGAUAACUUGUUAGCAUAUUGUCUUUCUCUAUUCAGCACGGCCCCACUGGGGGUUUGGGGACUGAAUGACAUCACCCAGGCAUUUAUAAUUAGAAACAAAAAUGCCUCUUUCCAAAUCUAUAACACCAGGAGACGAUUGGAGACAUUUUUUAAGUUACUGGUGAAAAUCCCACAUGAAAGAGGUCUUUUCUGAGCAGGCAGCAACUUUGCUGGCUUUUGAGACACUCCCGGGAAGGCACUGGAAGCAAGUGACGAACAACCUUUCCAACCAUGGAUCCCAACGCCACCAUGCAGUUUCGCAGGAAAGCGGUCACUGGGCUCUCGGCCUCUCCCCAGAGAAGCUGUGUUUCUUGAAGUUCCUGGGAGACUCCAAGAAGGCGUCUGAAUUUCCACCACUGUGGAGACAGAGCGCAGUGACUUCUGAUGGUUAAGUUUCCAUUUGUUCAGCAAGUUCUUACUGACUCAACUUGAAUACACUCCCACUGACAUUCUGGAUUUUUCUGUAAUCAUUUUCUCCUUAAAAGAAUUCAGGAUAACUCCAACAAUCACAAAUGACUGAUUGUGGAGUUUUCAUUUAUUCAACAAGUUCUUUUUGAGGACCUCUCUCAGAAAGUCCUGAGAACCUGCUGACAUCCAGGGUAUCUGCCUAUGAAGAAUCAGACCAGCGCUCCACCCUCUGAUACGCUAGCCACUAGCCACAUGCAAUGAUUUGCAUUUAAAUUUAGAUGAACAAAAAUGAAGGGAAGCUGCGAAUGCAUCUUCUCAGUUGCACUGGCCACCUCUCUGACGCUCAAUAGCCACACGUGGCUAGUGGCUACCAUACCCAACAGCACAAACCUAGAGCGUUUUCAUUGUUGUGGAAAGUUCUUUUUGGACAGUGCUGGACUGAUCACCUGACUUGCCUCGAACACUCCUGGUUUACACCUGUUGACGUGGUAUCAUCAUUAAUAGCACCCUCUUUCAAGCCCAAAGUGUCCUGGUUGGGAAAGACAACUGAACGAUGAAAAUGAACUUGGCCACCAUCCCUGCCAGGACUUUUGUUGAGACCCAGAACCCUUUCCCUUGAUGAAAAAAGUUGCCUGCGUCAGCCCCUGCCUUUUCCUCCUGAUUCUCUCCCACCUGUCCGGCCCGCCAGUAUUAGUAACCGGGGACACAAAUGCAGGGGAAGAGAUGGUCAGAAAUGUCUUCAAGUGAGGGAUGUACUUCUCGCUCCAGGAGGCCGGGAGCUCCGUUCCUGCCCACGGAUGCUGGCCCAGGAGGGAGCUUUGUCACCCGCACCGAGGGGUCCUGUGUGAGCGAUUUGGCCCCACCUCACCUGCGACCUCCUUUCUGCGAUUUUGUAAGUCAUCGCUUUGUGACUCAGUUUCUCUCCGACUGAAUGAACCACACAAGGUUUCUUUACCACCCGUUCGGAGACCGUUGGUAAAACACGCUCGACACACCUUUCAGAGCCUUGGGGAUGAGCCGAGGGCGGGGGGCGGGGGGAGGAAGACUGGGGGAGUACCCCUACCCCCACCACACAUCCCGGGAGGCCGAGGCCUCGCCAGCGUGUGCCCAAGUGCCACCUGGGCCUCCUUUCACUUCCCGGAGCAUCCUGAUGGAGGAUGAAUAAGGUAACCACAAAAAAUAUAACAGACCCGGGUAAGUUCAAAGUCAGGAGUAAGAGACAAAGAUAGAUGGAUAGUUAUUACAGAUGAUAGAUAGAUAGAUGAUAAAUGGAUGGGUGGAUGGAUGCGGUUAGAAAGACAGAAGAUCAAGAGAAUCUCCACUUCUUCAAACAGGAAUCACUGAGUAGCACCUGCCUCUGGGGGUGGGGAGCGGACUAGGUGGCCGGUGUGUUAGCCGUGCUGGCUGGACAAGUCAGCUUGGGGUUUCGCACCAGGCAGCUAGUUGAGACACUGGCAAAGAAGGGGUUCACCUCCCCAAGAAAGAAAAAAAGCGUCCGUCUCAAAAGAAAAUAAUCGCUGCAUGUAAUUUUGUGCGUCAUUUCAAAAAGUAUCUUUCCCUUCUAUGGUUUAAUACCGUUUUCUUUUGAACUUCACCGGGGCUGGGGAGAGGACCCACGGGCACGUCAGGGCCUCCCAGAUGGCUUUGCAAAUUGUAAGGGCCCAGGCUGCCAUCAGCUCUUAGAUUCUGCGUGACCUGAUGUCCUAGUGGCACAGCAGGCCGGGCCGGUGAGGGCGAGGUUGGAGGGCGUACACCAUGUGACGGGGACAAAGAUGAUGGAGGGCUGGCUUCUGCCUGAAUUGGGGGAUGGGAGAGGGGUAGGGGAGACAGAGCAUAGAAAACGGCCUUACCAAUAAGAGCCCAAACUUCCUGCCGGUGUCCGUGCACACAUGACCCAAACGAAGCAGAUGUAGCAGUGGCCAAAGGAGGCGGUUUUCAUUCUAGAAACGUCCACAUCUCCUGCUCCUGCAACCUUCCCAAAUGUCUUCUCGAUUUUUACACAGGCUUCUAAAAAUGGCAUCAACAACCGCCCAGUGCCCAGGGCCAUGGCAGGCUAGGUAGUUGAAUCUGGAGGGAGCACAGUGUGGCCAGCCCCAUCGACCCACCCUCUGCCCCACUGAGGAGGAAGCUGGAGCCGUCACAAUGACCGUGACAUCCGCAGUUCUGGCUUGAACUCUCCCUCUAUAAGGCUUUCCUGCCUCUGAUAACUCAACCUCAGGUCAAGUUGUCAGGUCUUUAUGGCUGAGAUUUUCUUACCUGCUUCUUAAACCAGUUUAAACUGGCUUAAGCAACAUGGGAACUCAUUGGCUCAUAUGACUUAAAGAACUAGGACUGAUAGCUUCAGGCGUGGCUAGAUCCAAGCCUGGGGUCCGAGCCAUCUAGCCACUGAGGUUGUUUCUUUUCCUGCUUUCUUCUACGUUGGCUUUGCUCUUGGAUAGGUUCUCUUUCUGGAGCAGUCCCUGGUUCACCUGGUUUACCAGCCCCACCGGAACUAAAACACCUCUUUGCCGGUAAUUCCAGCAAAAGGCUUGGCUCAAGCCUCAUCAGACUAACUGACACCAUUCGUGAAUCAAACCACUCGUCAAGCCUAAGAAUCAGCUGGCCAUUCCUGAAGUCAAGAAUCAGGGUCAUCAACCACACAAUCGGUAAGCAGGGAUGUAGUUAGCCAGAGAAAAGCCAGGGAGCUUUUUCACCUUCACCAGUAGAAAGAAAACGGAUGCCGUGGAAACCAAAUCCGUGAAUGCCCACGAUGAGCCGUAAAUGCUCGAUACACUUUAGCCAUUAACCAAAAGUUAAAGACGGGAUCACAGAAGCUCUGGAAUCGCACCCAUAAGCUGGUGGUUCUUCACCUUGACAGGACGCUAAAGAUUCCCACAGAGCUUUUAAAAUUCUUCCAUCCCGGGGCACCUGGGUGGCUCCGUCGGUUAAGCGGCCGUCUUCGACUCAGGUC